GACGAACGCUGGCGGCGUGCUUAACACAUGCAAGUCGAACGGAAAGGCCCUGCUUUUGUGGGGUGCUCGAGUGGCGAACGGGUGAGUAACACGUGAGUAACCUGCCCUUGACUUUGGGAUAACUUCAGGAAACUGGGGCUAAUACCGGAUAGGAGCUCCUGCUGCAUGGUGGGGGUUGGAAAGUUUCGGCGGUUGGGGAUGGACUCGCGGCUUAUCAGCUUGUUGGUGGGGUAGUGGCUUACCAAGGCUUUGACGGGUAGCCGGCCUGAGAGGGUGACCGGCCACAUUGGGACUGAGAUACGGCCCAGACUCCUACGGGAGGCAGCAGUGGGGAAUAUUGCACAAUGGGCGGAAGCCUGAUGCAGAAACGCCGCGUGCGGGAUGACGGCCUGCGGGUUGUAAACCGCUUUCGCCUGUGACGAAGCGUGAGUGACGGUAAUGGGUAAAGAAGCACCGGCUAACUACGUG
rnacentral:rRNA from 1 species